UCUUCUUUUAUGACUGGGUACACACUUGUUACAAUGGACAGAACAAAGGGUUGUGAGACCGCAAGGUUAGCCAAUCCCACAAAUCUGUUCUCAGUUCGGAUCGCAGUCUGCAACUCGACUGCGUGAAGCUGGAAUCGCUAGUAAUCGCGGAUCAGCAUGCCGCGGUGAAUACGUUCCCGGGCCUUGUACACACCGCCCGUCACACCACGAGAGUUUGCAACACCCGAAGUCGGUGAGGUAACCUUUAUGGAGCCAGCCGCCGAAGGUGGGCAGAUGAUUGGGGGG
rnacentral:rRNA from 1 species